rnacentral:rRNA from 1 species
AACGAACGCUGGCGGCAUGCCUAAUACAUGCAAGUCGAACGGAAGGUGGUGUUUACAUCAUCUUUAGUGGCAAACGGGUGAGUAACGCGUGGGAAUCUGCCCUUUGGUAGGGGAUAACUAGGGGAAACUCUAGCUAAUACCUUAUAGGAUUGGUGACAAUGAAAGAUUUAUCGCCAAAGGAUGAGCCUGCGUCAGAUUAGGUAGUUGGUGGGGUAAAGGCCUACCAAGCCUGUGAUCUGUAGCUGAUUUGAGAGAAUGAUCAGCCACACUGGGAGUGAGAUACGGCCCAGACUCCUACGGGAGGCAGCAGUAGGGAAUAUUGGACAAUGGGGGAAACCCUGAUCCAGCAAUGCCGCGUGAAUGAAGAAGGCCUUCGGGUUGUAAAGUUCUUUUGUCCGGGAAGAUAAUGACUGUACCGGAAGAAUAAGCCCCGGCAAACUUCGUGCCAGCCGCCGCGGUAA